rnacentral:rRNA from 1 species
UAUCGGAACGUGCCCUGGAGUGGGGGAUAACUAGUCGAAAGACUAGCUAAUACCGCAUACGAUCUACGGAUGAAAUGGGGGAUCGCAAGACCUCAUGCUCGUGGAGCGGCCGAUAUCUGAUUAGCUAGUUGGUGGGGUAAAGGCCUACCAAGGCAUCGAUCAGUAGCUGGUCUGAGAGGACGACCAGCCACACUGGGACUGAGACACGGCCCGG